AUAUAUGUUUUUCCAAACCCUUACAAGUGAUUAUCUCUCUCUCUCUCUGUGGCUAGGUCUACGUCGAUGAAAUCUUUGAUGGCGUCGCCACCAAAGGCCGCCGAGACUCCAUCAGUGGUUCUGGUGAAGAUAUCAACUCACGCUCCACUCUGCUCCUCCCAUUACUUCGGCCAUGAGUUCCACCGUCACCACCAUGACUUCAUCGUCAAUCGCCUGCACUUCUGGUCCCUCAACCACUCCUACUAGCAUUGCAGCUUUGAACACAAUCGGAUUUGCCGCCUAGCAUUCUUCGCCACUACUGCUCGAGUUCCCGUUGAAGAUCAUUGUUCUGAAAGCCCUAAGGUUAGGGUUUUGCAGAUUCAUCGCUCUCUCACCUUCUUCCCGAUAGAUCUAUAGAGGUAUGUGGUUGAUUUGAUCUUCAAAUGCGUUCUUUUACAUAUCUGGGUUCUUUUACAGAUCAAUCGCAAUCUAAUCCUUGUCUUUCCCCUCAUGGCCAACCCUACGUUUUUUUCUUUCUCAACUGCUGCUGCUUCGCCUACUCUAAAGCGAGUAAUCGACACUCACGACGGAAGCUUCCACUAUGACGAAGCCUUGGGCUGUGUUCAAAGUUACAUAUAUAUAGAUAUAUAUCUUAGUUCUGACAAGAACAAGUCCUCCAUCCAAAUCUGUAUUCAAAGUUACAUAUGUGUGUGUGUGUAUAAACCUUCAGUAAGAAAGACCAUCGAUCUCAGUCGAUUUGUGUUUAAUGUUUUAUUGUUUCAAAUUUUUCUUUUCCUUUUUCUUUUUGCUUGGUUUGUUAUUGUUGAUGAUGAACUUUUUUUUUUUUUUUGUGUUCAUCUAUAUAUUUUCUUUGUUGUUGUUGUUGA